rnacentral:rRNA from 1 species
UGGGGAAUUUUGGACAAUGGGGGAAACCCUGAUCCAGCCAUCCCGCGUGUGCGAUGAAGGCCUUCGGGUUGUAAAGCACUUUUGGCAGGAAAGAAACGUCAUGGGUUAAUACCCCGUGAAACUGACGGUACCUGCAGAAUAAGCACCGGCUAACUACGUGCCAGCAGCCGCGGUAAUACGUAGGGUGCAAGCGUUAAUCGGAAUUACUGGGCGUAAAGCGUGCGCAGGCGGUUCGGAAAGAAAGAUGUGAAAUCCCAGAGCUCAACUUUGGAACUGCAUUUUUAACUACCGGGCUAGAGUGUGUCAGAGGGAGGUGGAAUUCCGCGUGUAGCAGUGAAAUGCGUAGAUAUGCGGAGGAACACCGAUGGCGAAGGCAGCCUCCUGGGAUAACACUGAUGCUCAUGCACGAAAGCGUGGGGAGCAAACAGG